rnacentral:rRNA from 1 species
AUAUCAGUCAUGCAUAGCAUAUCAAUAAGCGGAGGAAAAGAAACUAACAAGGAUUCCCUUAGUAACGGCGAGUGAAGCGGGAAGAGCUCAAAUUUGAAAUCUUCAAGGUUUUACCUUGACGAAUUGUAGUUUAAAGAAGUGUUUUCUGUUGAAGUUUUGGUAAAAGUUCUUUGGAAUAGGACAUCAUAGAGGGUGAGAAUCCCGUAUUUGACCAUUACUUUCAGCUUUGUGAUACACUUUCAAAGAGUCGGAUUGUUUGGGAAUGCAGUCCAAAAUGGGCGGUAAAUUUCAUCUAAAGCUAAAUAUUGGCGAGAGACCGAUAGCGAACAAGUACCGUGAGGGAAAGAUGAAAAGAACUUUGAAAAGAGAGUUAAACAGUACGUGAAAUUGUCAAAAGGGAAGCGUUUGACACCAGUGUUGUUUUCUCGAAAAUCAAUUAAAAAGAGUUGGAUUUUGUGUUGUAUUGACUUUAUCAGCUUUCUUCACUCUUUUCCAGCUUUUUUUAAUGCACUUUUCGUUUAACAAGUCAACAUCAGUUUCUUUUGUUGUAAAAAGGUCAUUGGAAGGUGGCUUUCUCUUCGGAGAAAGUGUUUAUAGCCUUUGACUCAUGCAAUCGGAGAGACUGAGGUCUGCAGCGUAGAUCCUUCGGGGUUAGAUACAUUUGUGCUAAGUUAUAGCUUUUCAUAGACAACUUGUUGACUAUGUUUAGUCUUGUAGCUUACUCGCUUAUGCUAUUUUACCUACGCUUAGGAUGUUGAACUCUAUCACACACAG